GGAAAGAUAUUCUCUAACUUUAGAGUGCGAAAGUCACAUGACUUUCAACCAUUUUUUACCAUUAGAUUAAUCUAAAACUUUAAAUGGUGCCACUUCAACCUGUUCUUUAUUCUAAAAAAAUGAGAUGAUAAAUUGAACACCCAUCAACUUCAUACCUCCGCUGCUCCAUUGUUAAGCCAACAAUCAGAUCUGAUGAACACCAUCAACUCUGACAACCUCCGCCAUCUUGACUUCGUCCUCACAACCAUUGUAGAUUUUUUUUAUCAGAUCAUUUUCUUCCAUGAAAUCCUCUUGGUGAUGAUACCUGUACAGUGAGAUAACGGCGGUGNNN
rnacentral:lncRNA from 1 species